rnacentral:rRNA from 1 species
UAGUCGGAGGUGUGUCUCGGACGGUCGGUUCGCUGCUUGUCAGUGCUUAACUGGCCGGUCCGGACGUCCUGCCGGUGGGGAUGUCAAAAGUCCCCGUUAUCCUUCUUUGGUGCUCUUCACCGAGUGCCUUGGUGGGCCGGCACGUUUACUUUGAACAAAUUAGAGUGCUCAAAGCAGGCCGUUGGUCGCCUGAAUACUGUGUGCAUGGAAUAAUGGAAUAGGACCUCGGUUCCAUUUUGUUGGUUUUCAGAACUCGAGGUAAUGAUUAAUAGGGACGGACGGGGGCAUUCGUAUUGCGACGUUAGAGGUGAAAUUCUUGGAUCGUCGCAAGACGAACCGAUGCGAAAGCAUUUGCCAAGAACGUUUUCGUUGAUCAAGAACGAAAGUUAGAGGUUCGAAGGCGAUCAGAUACCGCCCUAGUUCUAACCAUAAACGAUGCCAGCUAGCCAUCCGCCGAAGUUCCUUCUAUGACUCGGCGGGCAGCUUCCGGGAAACCAAAGCUCUUGGGUUCCGGGGGAAGUAU